rnacentral:misc_RNA from 1 species
CUUUGGAAGCAAGCUCACAGAACACUCCAACAACUGCAGACACAAUCUGCGGAUCAGUACCAUCUAAACACUCGACCAGUCUCUUAAAACACACCCUAACCGCAUCUGGGUAUUUCCCAAAAACCCUCAAAACCACGCCUAUAGCUUUCUUUCUAACAAAAACCUUAGAACUCGACAAUAAAGUGAAAACUUCAGGAGUAAGAUCCCUGCAUAAAUCAGCAGUACCAAUUCUGGAUAGGCAAUCAAGAGCUAAACUCACCUCGAACUCAUUAUUACUCUUGAGAUCUUUCCGCAACUGGUUGGUGAUCAACAAAAUAACAGA